rnacentral:lncRNA from 1 species
AAGCAAUGUAGUCAGAUGACCCAUAGUCCAGUGUGAUGAGGACAAUAACACAAGAGACUGAGACUGAUUAUCCCUGUCUCAAAGUGAGCUGGAGGAUGGAUUAUAAAAGAAGAAACUGGAGCCUGGGAGGCCCAUCACAGAGGAAGAAGAAGAACUGUCUAACUCAACAUUUCUUAGAGUGUGGUCUGAAAAUCUUGGGAGACCCAACAUCCUUUCAAGGGAUCUGAAAGGUCAGGGUACUUUCAAAUAUGACUAAGCUGUCAUUUGCCUUUUUCUACUACUUACAUUUGCACUGAUGCUAAAAAGCAAACGUGGGUAUAAAUGCUGGCCACUUAGCACAAGGCAGUGACACCAAACUGUACUGGUACUCUUUGUGUUCUUUAUUAUCAUACAUUCACAAGAAAAUCAAGAAACAAACAAAAAA